rnacentral:rRNA from 1 species
GUGGGGAAUAUUGGGCAAUGGGCGAAAGCCUGACCCAGCAACGCCGCGUGAAGGAAGAAGGCCUUCGGGUUGUAAACUUCUUUUAACAGGGACGAAGAAGUGACGGUACCUGUUGAAUAAGCCACGGCUAACUACGUGCCAGCAGCCGCGGUAAUACGUAGGUGGCGAGCGUUAUCCGGAUUUACUGGGUGUAAAGGGCGCGUAGGCGGGAAUGCAAGUCAGGUGUGUAAUCUACAGGCUCAACCUGUAAACUGCACUUGAAACUGCGUUUCUUGAGUGUCGGAGAGGUUGACGGAAUUCCUAGUGUAGCGGUGAAAUGCGUAGAUAUUAGGAGGAACACCAGUGGCGAAGGCGGUCAACUGGACGAUAACUGACGCUGAGGCGCGAAAGCGUGGGGAGCAAACAGG